UACGAAGGGGGCUAGCGUUGCUCGGAAUCACUGGGCGUAAAGCGCACGUAGGCGGAUUGCUAAGUCAGGGGUGAAAUCCUGGAGCUCAACUCCAGAACUGCCUUUGAUACUGGCGACCUUGAGUCCGGGAGAGGUGAGUGGAACUGCGAGUGUAGAGGUGAAAUUCGUAGAUAUUCGCAAGAACACCAGUGGCGAAGGGCGGCUCACUGGCCCGGUACUGACGCUGAGGUGCGAAAGCGUGGGGAGCAAACAGG
rnacentral:rRNA from 1 species